UGAGGAAUAUUGGUCAAUGGGCGAGAGCCUGAACCAGCCAAGUAGCGUGCAGGAUGACGGCCCUAUGGGUUGUAAACUGCUUUUAUGUGGGGAUAAAGUGCGUGACGUGUCAUGCAUUGCAGGUACCACAUGAAUAAGGACCGGCUAAUUCCGUGCCAGCAGCCGCGGUAAUACGGAAGGUCCGGGCGUUAUCCGGAUUUAUUGGGUUUAAAGGGAGCGUAGGCUGUCUAUUAAGCGUGUUGUGAAAUUUACCGGCUCAACCGGUGGCUUGCAGCGCGAACUGGUCGACUUGAGUAUGCAGGAAGUAGGCGGAAUUCAUGGUGUAGCGGUGAAAUGCUUAGAUAUCAUGACGAACUCCGAUUGCGCAGGCAGCUUACUGUAGCAUAACUGACGCUGAUGCUCGAAAGUGCGGGUAUCAAACAGGAUUAGAUACCCUGGUAGUCCGCACGGUAAACGAUGGAUGCUCGCUAUUCGUCCUAUUUGGAUGAGUGGCCAAGUGAAAACAUUAAGCAUCCCACCUGGGGAGUACGCCGGCAACGGUGAAACUCAAAGGAAUUGACGGGGGCCCGCACAAGCGGAGGAACAUGUGGUUUAAUUCGAUGAUACGCGAGGAACCUUACCCGGGCUUGAACUGCCAGCGAACGAUACAGAGAUGUUGAGGCCCUUCGGGGCGCUGGUGGAGGUGCUGCAUGGUUGUCGUCAGCUCGUGCCGUGAGGUGUCGGCUUAAGUGCCAUAACGAGCGCAACCCUUUUCUUUAGUUGCCAUCAGGUAAUGCUGGGCACUCUAUGGAUACUGCCACCGUAAGGUGUGAGGAAGGUGGGGAUGACGUCAAAUCAGCACGGCCCUUACGUCCGGGGCUACACACGUGUUACAAUGGGGCAUACAGAGUGUUGGCUUAACGCAAGUUUGGUCUAAUCUUCAAAGUGUCUCCCAGUUCGGAUUGGGGUCUGCAACCCGACCCCAUGAAGCUGGAUUCGCUAGUAAUCGCGCAUCAGCCAUGGCGCGGUGAAUACGUUCCCGGGCCU
rnacentral:rRNA from 2 species